rnacentral:lncRNA from 1 species
GGAACAAAUUGCGAAAGACUCUUGAACUUGAAUAUCUCAUCACACUUUAAUAAAUGUGCCGCUAUCUGAUCUAUGUAUCCUGUGAAUGCGUCAAACCUAUCUGUUGAUCUGUCCCACUGUAUUUAAUGUUAUUUGAUAUUUAUUAUCUGUUUACCUUGUAAAUUGGGUUAAUUUCUAUUUUGUUUUACAUACUUUGUGCAUUUUUAUGUAUGUCUUCUUAUCAACUUGCGAUUGAAUGCCUUUGGCCAGGUCAUCAUCGGAAAUCCUAAUUGGUUUUCAGUUGACUAAAGACUGCCUAAAUAAUUCUGUAUGCAUUUCAGAGGAACCAUCUCUCAGCCUUUUGACCGCUUUUAAUUGUUUCAGUUAAGGCUGAAGUAUUCCGUGUGAUGUUUGCAUGUUUGUAUUCAACCUGGGAUACUAGAUAUACCAGUGUUUUGCAUUAUUGUUUGCAUGUCAUUUUACAUGUCCAUUUGCCUCCAGGCAGAUGGUCACAUUCCCAGGUUCUUCCAGAUAUAAUGCAUCAAACAAUAAACACCUUACAGAUUUAAACACCUUCCACUGAAAGUAAAUACAUUUAUGUCUGUAGGGAUCAGACUAGUACGCACAGACACUGCUGUAUAAUAGGUCUGAAUUGAAAUGUACCUAUUUAGUUGGAUAAUACAUGAUGUCUGAAAGCAUGUAUGAAGUAGGUGUUUGUUUUGGUUACUAGUUAAAACAGGUACUGUUGUACUUCCUGUAUCUUGUCUGACAUCUUGACGUAAGCAAGUAGACACAUACCAAAGCUUGUGGAGAAACCCUCGAUGUUCCACUUCAGUACUGCAUGUCUACUUUCUGCCUAUGUAUAACAGGAAGCAGACCUCCCCGGAGCGCACAGUGGGAACAAGAGCUCCACCUCCCUCAACUAUCCCUGUUUCCUUCCCUGGGGUUGCGUCAAUUGGAAGUAUUUUAAGAGUAGUGUGUGAGAGAAAGAGGUAUACUAAUGUACAAGGUAAUUUGUAGGAGCAUGGCAGCAUAUUGUUUACACACUCUGAGAGAAAACAGGUCCUCAAGCUAGAGCAGUCAUGUUUUCCUAGUCCAGCAAUUGUCCUGUUACCCUGGGAAACCAAGUAAAAUUGUUUCCCAAACGAAGGACGUCAGUGGACUCAGAUAGAUAGGGAUAGGACAGGAUUCUCAUGGACGUGGUGACCAGCACCUGCCACUUGACACACAGCUCAUUAAAUGGGGCACUCCCACCCUGCUGUUGCUGGCUUUUGUGUUCUGAUACUCCUCCUGUGAAC